GUCUACGGCCAUACCACCCUGAACACGCCCGAUCUUGUCUGAUCUCGGAAGCUAAGCAGGGUCGGGCCUGGUUAGUACUUGGAUGGGAGACCAUUGUUUUGCCUUGGGACCUUGGAAA
ensembl:rRNA 5S_rRNA 5S ribosomal RNA